UCCAAUGCCUUUUUCUGUAGAGUAGGGCAAAGUUAAUGGGAGGAGGAGGCAGGUAAGGACUGGGGGUAAUGUCUGAGGCCGUGAGUGUGGCACCCAAGGGGCCUUGGUAGAAACGGGAGGAAGCAACUGAGCAAGAUGUUAAGGCUAGGGGCUCAGGAGAAGCAGCCAGGGCACCCCUUUGUCACCCCACAGCUGUCCGCUGAACCUUUGUUUUUCUCCCCUUCUCUUUGUCCCUAUCCCUCGAGAGAGAGCUGCAUCCCAUCCAGGCGGAGAAGAAGACAAGGAAGGGUCCGGCCGAGGAGGAGGAAGACCCCGAGCAAUCAGCACCAGCCAUGGAUGAUGGAAGAGACAGUCUCCACUGGACUCGAUCCUUUACGUAAUUUCAGGUUUCCCAGUUGCAGAGGAUCCCUCUGAAGGCGCUUCCUUUCCGGUAGGGAUCUGGGUUCAGGGCAGACUUUAAGCAGGUAGGGCCUCGCUGAUUUCCAGGACGUCUUCCAGGUAGGUUUACUUCUUCAGAGGCCUUGCUGGCUGACUUUGGUGGCCCCUCUUCCUCCGGAGCCACCGCCCGGCUGCCUCCUGGUGCCCCUGGCUGCCGUUCCAGGGCCUGACUUCCCAGCCAUCGUUCAGGCUUUCCUUUUGGGUCCCAGCUGGGAAGGGCAGGGGACAAGUGGUGGUGCUGGUCUCAUUUGGUCUGCUGCUCAGAUACUAACACUCAUCCCUACUAACACUAACACAAAGACUAAAAAGCACCCCACCAUUAACACAAACUCU